rnacentral:rRNA from 1 species
UGGUGGAGCGAUUCGUCUGGUUAAUUCCGAUAACGAACGAGACUCUGGCCUAUUAAAUAGUUCGCCGAUUCCGAUCUGUCGGCGUUAACUUCUUAGAGGGACAAGUGGCUUUUAGCCACGCGAGAUUGAGCAAUAACA